ACUAGCUUGUGUCCAUGGAACAUUCUUGCCACCGGGCUACAGCGACUCUCGGCCCCGUCGUUGAGCUCGCCUGCUGCCAUCACAGCCAUCAUUCGGGUACGGUCUACACUCUCACCUGUCUGCCUGCCCCCUUGUCUCACUACUGGACCUUCUCGUACUGGAUCAAUACUCACCCGGACCUUCACAAACUUACCUCCUCCUCUCACGUACCUCCACCUCUGGACAAUCUCCCUGACCACCGGCUCUCUCCCUCGUUUCUCGGUCUGAUUAGAUAUUCCCUACGAUGUCCAGCUCCAGCUUUGGGACCCCAUUGUCAUGCUCAUGCUCUCAAACAGAUAACUUGCAGUAUUUAUCUCUCCUACCAUAAUUGGUGUUUUAAUUGUCAUAGUGUUCUACCCACAAUCAUUUAUAUAUUGCCAUUUCUGUAUGCAUAGUUAUAGUGUCUUUGCUCACGUCACAGCUUUUGCUCACUACUAUUCUAGUAAAAUUGUCUCUCUCCGCUAUAUAUCGUCCCUGCCCCAUUUGCUAGUAUUCAUUCGUGCCUUGGCAUUUCACUCACCCCUGUAUGCAGUCGCUGUACAUGUGCACAAGCAUUGUAUUUAUUCUUGUUCUUGUAAUUAAACGUCCUUCACGUA